GUGAGUUGCCGCUCCGUUCCGCGCUUCUUUUGUCUCUCUGCGAGCGCGCCCCGCCCCGCCAAACUUUCGCCGGGGACCUCGGAGCCCCGACGCCUACCGCACGCCGGGUCGGGGCCGGGCAGGGCAGGGCUGGGGGCGGCCGCGGGUUGCGGGCAGUGCCCGGUGGGGUUGGGGGCGGCGUACCCGUGGGGGCGUCCGGGGGCAGGUGAGGGGGCGCGGGUCCUUAUCCUUCGGUUUCUUCGGGACGGAUGCUGUCGGCCCCUGCUUCGCGCUUUACGCAACAGGUAGGGAUGCCAGAGGCCGGCCGCGGCACGGGGCUUUGGGGGGCUCCUUGGCUCUUUUCUCGGCAAAUGUACGAAGGGGAGGGGGGAGGAGAUGCAACAGUCUUCCCAAAUUCCCCUCCAGUUGUUUAUUUAUGUACUUCCCGUGUCCAUGUAUAAAGGGUUCGUUUCGCAACUCCGGAGGUUUUCUUUCUUCUCUCCCUUUUUUUUUUUAUUUUUUUUCUUUCUUUCCUUUUUCUUCUCCCAAACUUGUUUUCCUUUACGGCCCGCGUUUGCCCGUCUCAUUCUGUGCGCUUCGACUAACCGAUACCCAGAGGCUGUCCUCACUGACAGUCGGGGGAAUCCAAACAAAGAGGAGGUUCAGUGUGAGGGAAGUUUUGCGCCAGGGCCGAGGAGGGAUGGAGGAGGUGGAAAGUUGGGGGGGCCAUGGGGCGAUGAGGGGAGAGGGCACGGCGGGACCCAGCCGGGAGGGGGGGGGAGUGGGGGAGCGGGGACCUGCCGCCGCCGGCGGCUCUUUGUCUGCUCGGGCAACUUGAACAAAAGGAGAAACUCGGGUGAACUCCGCAUCUCUCCCGGAUUAGCUCAUCUUCGGCAACUUUAUCCGGAGAGAUCGAGGCAACUUUCUCCCAUCUCUCCCGCCUCUUCAAAGCGGUCAGCCUCGCUGUAGGCUCGUGAGGAAACCGGGGUUCGCAGUGUAAAGAAAGCAGAAGGUCAAAACAUGGCUGUCCAAAGAAUGGGAUGCUUGCCAAAACAUCAAUCUGUGCUGAGUGCCAUACUCAUUAUCCUUCCAGUGGUGGAUUACAACUCGGGUCUCCUCAGGAGGUGACUGAUGUGGAACAAACUGUACGACUGUCUUUGCUGUUUGGAUACGUGUGUAAGUUAACGGGCUACUGGGAGAAGAUGAAGAGGCUUUUGCAGAAAAAUGAGGAUAUCAUGGGAAGUGCUGCUGCUAACCAUUUGGAUUAUAUUGCUGUCUGACACAGAAGUUCUGCAGAUUACGUAAGGAACUCUCCAGAUCUUUUUUGUUAUGUGAUUGCUGAAGCAUUUUCCUGGCACAGCAGUAAUGAUUGAUGAACACACUUCAGACUAGGAGCCACAGAGCAGUGAGGAUUUAUGCAUCUGGAAUAGAACUAUGAAUGGGAUUGCAGGAUUUACAUGGAGGACUCUGAAAUCCCUCACUUCCUGCUCCAGGAAGGGGGCCUGCUUUGUGACCUGGGGUACAAUCUAUGUCUGCUACUGAAGCUAUCUUGACUGGCAUGAGAAAUGUAAGAAUUUUGAAGAAACUUGGCCUGACAAAUAUCUGUUUGCACAUUUGGAUUUAUGAAAACUUCUGAUCACUCUGUGUCAUGGUCCCCUUCUGUAACAUAACAGGGCUGUCCGCAUAUACAGAGGUGCAGCACAGCCCCUGGCUCUCAAUACAACCUUCAGAUGAAGGAGGAAAAAUAACAGUUCCAGGCAUUGUAAAAGAGGACCUUCUUCUCUGAUGAGGACAUUGCUGAGUUUAACUAGCAGAAGGUAGUAUCUUUACAUCACUACAUGAUGCAGAUGGAUCACUCUUUGCCAGCUGCCAAAUCAAAUAUUGCUGUACAGUCUCUACCUUCAGCAACAUCCUCAGUGUUCUGGUGGUGGGUCCCUUGAAAGGAUGGGGCAGAACAGACUUCAUGCCACCCCUGUACUUCAAGCUCUCUGCUCUGCAUGAAGCUGCACUGUUCAGAAGAAGCAAGAUUCUUUCCUCACAGCUACGGCACUGCGACACAGCCUGCUUUUUCGCAUUUACCUGGGUGGCUGCUGCUGGUUCUGCUGCUGCUGCUGCAGCCUCGCUGCCUGCGCUUCACCCCAGCUUGGCUGAUGCGAGCCUCCCUCGUCUGCACAUUGCUAAGGAAGAGAAGCGAUGGAGCCGCAAUUUUUUUGUUGGUUCUGGAAGCAAAGGGUUGUGAUGUGGGGUUGUUUGGGGGUUUUCUUUUUUUUUUUUUUUUUUGGUGGGGAGAGAAAGGAGGGAUGUUAAUCUAGGGUGGAGUGGGUAAAAGCUUAAAGAAAUAUGAUGAAAAGUAAUCCAGUGCUCAACAAGGGCAUCAGCAGCAAGAAUCCAGCCUCUGCUGCUCCAGAGGAUUAAGAUGGGGAAAGCCACAGAACUGCAGUCGAGUUGCACCUCAGCGUUGUUCUGGAGAUGGAUAAACAAGGACAUGAUGUGGCCUGCUGCUACUUUCUGCUUGCCUGAUUGCCUGCUAAAGUCCAUUCCUCUUGGCACUGCUUACACCAGCUCCAGCUGCUCCACGUUGCUUUACAGUAUCAACAUCUACCUCCUCAAAUUUGGAAGACUGGUCACCCUUUGUAGUACUGCUGUGUGGAUGAAUCUUAAUCUUCUUGAAAGUAGGAUAUUAAAGAUGAGAUAAGCCCUGGUAUCUAGAAGUAGUAUAUACUGCAGUCCUAUGAGACACAUAGAUAGAUAGCCAGAUAUAAUCUUUCUCCACUGGAUAUCUUGUCCUUAGAACUAUUACCCUGGAAACACUCCUUAAUAUUUCAAAUCACAUACCCCUUUUCUUAGGUAUAUUCUAUUUAUCAGACAUAGCCUAGCUACAGAAUGGCCAAUGCUGUUGAGCUCUCAGUCUUUGUAAAAAUGGAUUUUCAUCUUUUGUACAAGCUUGUAUUUUGCUAAACAAUUAAAUAAAAACAAAACACAACAAAACAAAACCUUGUAAAUACCAACCUGUUAGGACUGAUCUGUCUAUCGAUCAAUGAAGUGUUAAAAUCCACCACAGGAACUAGUCCCAGUACGACUUGAUACUUCACUCUGAAGCAGAAGUACUUUCAAAAACACAAAUAUCUGGUUUAUUCCCAAAAGCUCUUUUUUCUGGGUCAAUCCCAUGUUUCUUAAAUACUGUCAUGACAUUGAGGGGAAAGCUGUGUGCAUGUGAGAAGUCGGAAGCUUUGACACAUUAGGCAAACAAGAAGUCAGUUUAGUAUUGUGCAUUAAUGAAAGAGAAUGAAAAUAAAAAUCAGCUGAAAGCAAAUCCCACCUGCAAACCACUUCAGCAAGGUGUAUGAAGCAAAGGACAUCUGUGACCACAAUGUCAUACACUGAGGCAUUAUGGCUUCACACUGCAAUCUGCCUCUGAGCAGUCAUUUGAUAACACUGCAAUCCAGGAAUGCAGCUGUUCCUUUCUGCAAAUUUAAUGAUCCACAUAUCUUAAAAGGCAUUUUCUUUCAUAUUUUUUUAUUUACUUCUUUUGUGUUAUGUUUUGUAUCAGUGAAGAUAGAACAUUACACAGUCAUCAGGGAAAUUAUGUUUUUCCUUUUUUUUUUUUUUUUGAUCAUUCAAGACUUAUAUUCACAGUAAUGAGGCUUCCAGGUUUGUGCGGCUGUGAGAUGAACUGCAUUUUGCAUCACUGUCUUCACCUUCAUGUCUGGGGUUGUUGCCUUCACCUUCCUCCUGAUACUAGCCCUGAGGCACAUGUUAUCUCAUAUCCACAUGCAUUCUGUCAUGUCUCACUCUUUGAAUGAAUACAAAAACAUUUUGAGAAAAUGGAAAAUGGAGGGCUGGAUUGAAUUUUGUAGAUAUGCAUGUAGGAGACACUGCAUGCAGAUUCCCACAUUCCUGCCUCCGGGUGGUGGCUGUAGGAAGCAACUGCCUUGACAUUUCUGUCUUUCUUUUGUGGAAACCUUAUGCAGCCUUGUUCAAUCACACAAUCACAGAAAAUCACAUUCACUGGUGUUGGAAGGGCCCUCAAGCAAUCAUCAAGUCCAACGCCUCCGCUAAAGCAGAUACCCUACAAUAUGUCUCACAGGUAGCUCUCCAGGCAGGUCUCUAAUGUCUCCAUAGAAGGAGCCUCCACAACCUCCCUGGACAUCUCUGUUCCAAUGCUGUGUCACCUUUGCCAUAAAGAAGUUCUUCUGCAUGUUAGUACGAAGCUUCAUAUGCUCAAGUUCAAGUUUGUUUAUGUAUUACCUCUUGUUUGCAACUCCACAUUCAGCUCCAACUCUAAGGGAAGGAUGACAAGUUCAGUCUAACAUAGCAAACAUAGCAUGGAUUCAGCAACAAGACAACUUGGAUGGGCUUCAGUUGGAUUCACUGAAAACUGAACAGCAAUGCUGUAAGAGGUUGGACUUCUGCUCCAAAAUUUCUGUUUUCCCUCUGGGCAUGUUAGGAUAAGAAUAUUCUGCUCUUUGCAAGAAUUUGGAUGAAUCUCAGUAUAUAGUGCUUUUCUUUACAUGUUCUGUGUUUAGAAAAACCUUUUUAAAAUACUGAAUGUAUAUUAUUAUUGUACGAUGUUAUCUCUACAAUAGGUUUGUACUUUGAACUACUGGUUAGAAAACUUCUUAAAUAACUAUUAAUAAUGAAUCAGCCAGAUUUAGAGUCAAGGGCCAAAUUCUUUUAUUUUGAACUCUGACUAUAUUGACUAAAAAUCAUUUCUAUUUAAAAGAUCCCUGCAGGGACCUUCACUGUGGACUGUUUCUCAAGGCUUGAUUUGCAUAUCACCAAGACCUAUCUUCUCCUAUUUUUCCCCGAGAUGUUAUCUCUGCAAUAUCUUUCUUCUGUACCUCCUGGCAACUUUAUAGACUGCUCUCCUAUGGCAUGCUAAUAUCAUUGCCACUAGCCAAAAGAAUUUGCACAAGACAAAGGUGGAUAAUCCUAGGUUACAGUUUCAUUUGAUAAUCAAUAUGGAGAACAACCUCAGUGUUGAACCUCAUGUAGGUAGUAAAUCCAGCCAUAGUGAAGCAUGUACAUAGUUUGCUCUAGAAGUAAUGCCUCCUAUUUGUUUCCAUGAAAACUACGACAUAUAGAAAUAAUGUUUAAAGAAAAGGUGUGCUUUACGUUACUCCAUGUGGAAAAAUUUCACCUAUUGACAUUCAUCAGUGCUUACUGAACGUUUAGGGAGACUAAGAAGUGAGUAUGAACACAGUGGUGGGUAGUGCAUUUCAACAGUAGCAACAGAAACGGUGGGUCACCUAUGCUGGUGCAGAUUUUUAUGACUAUGGCAUGUAAUUUCUUGUUCAUCACAGUAAAAAUGCAUAUCUCAUGGUGGUGAUUAUGUUGAAAAAUAGUGUUUUGUAGCCGAGAAUCUGCUCUGUCAAAUAGUGUUAUUGUGCUCUUUGUAUCCAUUGUAGUUUCCAUGGAAAUAAGUAGGAGGAAUUACUUUCAGAGCAAGCAAUAUACAUAAAGCACCCCAUUGAAUUCAAUAGGAAUAUUGACAUAAGGAAGGAAUGUAGGGCUAAGCCUUUGAUUCCUGUAGAAUUCUUCUUUAACCAAACAAAAUAUUAUUCUGUGUUUGGAUUAUGUUCAAUUAGAACUUAGAAAUUAUUGUUUGUCUGUGAGAUGCCAUUCACAUGACUAUCUUCUCAUAAGUGAUUUAUACUACAUGCUCUUAGGACUAUGUCAUGUGAAAAGUGAAAUAUUUAGAUAGCCAAAUAUCUGACACAAAAGUAUAUGACAAUCACACACACACAACUGAAAGUCCAAGAAAUCACAUCACCCAAAUUGCUCAUAUCUUUCUCUCUCACUGUUUGUGUUGGUUUCCUUUCAGUAGAUACAACUGCAGAUCUUUGGCCUGUGCCACAUGUCAAAUAAGGAUAAGAACCUUCCCCAUGGAAGUCAGUUUUCAAAUUUAAAUGGAACAGAUAUGUAAAUUUCAACACUUUCCCUACAUAAUAUACGCAUUUGAACUGCCAGAUUGUUCAGGUGUACAUGCAAGGGGUAGGUUGUACAUGCAAGAACCCAUUUAUGCUGAUGAAGAAAAUGAUGUAUGGAAAAUAAAAUACAUUUAAAGCAUGCACUGUGGCAUGUACUGACUUUACCAGAAUAAUUGAGGGAAUUAAUAUUGAAUACCCGAUCUAUGGAGACAAAAAUACUAAAUAGCCUAAUGUCACUGAGAAAGAAGCAGAGAGCAAAGGAUUUCCACAUUUUUUCUCUUACAAAAUUUUGAUGGAUUCUGAUCUUUUUUUUGUGUGUGUGUGCUGUUUUUCUCAAACCCAAUGUGAUGACAGAAAACCUUGAAUGCAGAUUUCUUAUUGUUGUGCAAUUGCUGGGGAAAUUGUAAAUAGCUGGAGUUUAGAUUUGAAAGUAUGUAACUACUCCAUUUCCAUCUGAAUUAACAUGUAAUACCUUUUUUAAUUCUGUAUUUAUCACAGGAAAUAUUUUUUGCUUGAAGUAUGUACUUCUGGGAGUGUGUUCAUUGUCCUGUGUUGUAAUAUCACUUCUGAAAGAAAUAUGUCUUUAAAUAUUAGUGUUCAGUAGGACUGUUCUUAAUCUCUGUUAUUAUAAUAAAUACUGAAUGUCAGACUUUUUCAAAGAUCCAAAUUGGAAAUGUGCUUUUUAUCUCACUAAAAUGAGUGGAAGCUCCACACGUCAUGUACAUUUCAAAGUAGAGAACUGUUAUCCCAAAUAUGCAUUGCAAGGAUAAUUGGAAAGGAUUAAUUUACUUCAUGGGGAUUUGACGGAGAUGAAUGAUCUGUUGUGCUCCCGGGAAAUUGGGAAUUUGGAAUUCUUUACUUUCAGUGGUUGAGAAUUAUCUGUGAAGUUUCUAUGCUUGAGUAGUUUUAAGUGCAUCUGUUCUUGAAGUAAUACAAAACAAAAACUCAGAUUUUCCCUGUCUGGGGUUUAUUCAUGUUACUACAGAUUUUUAAUACGAAAAUUAGAAUAUUGAAAAUAUAUUUUUCCUUUGGUUUUAAUAUUUAUACAGUAGAAAUUCUUGUUAGUGUUAAAAUGGAAUCAUAUAUCCAUUUAUGUUUUUAUAUGCAUAAGUACACCAUAGUUUAGGGUUUGAUGAAAGCCAUCUCAGUAGAAUCAGUCCUUGUUACACUUGUUUUAGAUUUGUGCUGUUUGAGGCAGAGAGAUACAGAUAGAGGAUUUAUUUUUCAGUCCUAGUAGUUAAUCAAGUUCCUGUAACAGUCAUCUAAUCCCAUGGUUUUACCCAAGUCGUUUUCUCCAUGUUACUUCUACCUUUCUUAAGCAAGGCAAGUUUCUGCCUCAACAUUCUACCUUUGACCUAUUUGACCUUGCCUAUUUCCUUUCUGCUGUACAGCGGGUCAAUAACAGUACUGAGCAAGCAAUCCUCUUUCUAGCAUAUUGCCAGCUGUACAGGAGCUGUUGUGAACUCCCUAGAAAAGCUGAGAUGUGGUGUAAUACUUACGUUCACCUGCAAUCAGCAAUUUUAUGGUGCUAUCUCUGAAAAGCAGAGGGGAUUGAGUGGAUGUGCCGUGAAAGAAUUGAUGGAAUAUCCACUUUAAUGCUCUCUUAAGAAGGAAGGAGCGUUCUGCAGAAAUCCAGUCCAGCAUAUAUGCUAACACAACAGCAUUUUGGUUUGUUGGACCUCCUGUGGGGAAGACUGCAAAGUGGUUAUAGUUAUACAGGCUGCUGUAGGCAUCUCUGGGCUAGUCUCCCCUCAACAAAGAGACUGUCUAGAAACAAAACCUCCAGGAGCUGUAUUUAUACAUAUAGCUUCAGGGAGGAAUGUGUUCCAGAGCCUCAUUAACUCACCUCUAAGGUUGCAAGAGUAUCCAAUGGUGUGGGAAUAUCAAUGACACUGGUACUGUGGUCCUCAGUGCUCACUUCCACAGAUGCACAUUAGAAAUCUGAAUUUCUCCCUCCUUCAUAGCUGUAUGUGAAUCUAUUUGAAUGUAGAGAUUAUAUUUCUUGUCAUCUAGUACAGUCAGGCAUACAGUUAGACUCAGUUGCAGACUUGAGAAACAAUGAAAUAAAUUAAUUUUAUAAGGGAUACUAAUUUUAUUAGUCAGUGAAAAAAAAAAAACAAUCAACCUCAACAAAUAAUAGCAGGUACUUAAGAGUAGCUAUAUAGCUAUAAAGUAGCAGUAGGGGUAUGUAAAGAUAGUUUUUUCAUCCAUGAGACAUGAUAAAUCAGUAGGCGAUUUAUGAUGAUAUAAAUCAUGAUAACAAUCAGUGGGAAGAAAUAUUCGAGACAAGAGCCAUGAUGCUUAAUGCUAUCAUCUAUAAUACAUUUGCUCUAUGUUUAGUUGUGCAGGUUAUAAUUGUAUUUAAAGGAUGCCUACAUGUGAACAAGAAUGACAAAAAAAUUCAUCUUGUUACUCCUUUGAACACAGGAGAAUCAGUAGUUAGUAUUGAGGAAAUGUGAGUAACUAUACAGAGAUAUUUUGGUAGUGCAAAGCCUAUGUUCACUCACAAAAGUGGUUUCACAGAGGAUAAGAAAUAGCUCAGAUCCCGUAGUCAGCAACCAAAGUAACCAAGUGCUUGUCAGAUACCAGGCGCUACAGUGCCAUCAGCAAAUCAGGCUAUCUGUUCUUCGGGCAGCUGACUACUGCCUGCUAUUCACAGCUCAGGCUCCAUGUUACUUUGCUCCUGUGUCAGCUGCCAGUCUUCUCCGAGUGAUUCUCCAAGAAACUCCAUUUCUGCAUCUCAAAAUUAUCCCUGUUUGUUGAUACUGCGCAUGACUAAAAUGGUAUUUUCAUAUUUCAGAGCAGUUGAAGCCCCUUAAAGCAGAGGGCUGUGAGUGUGAAAAAGAGAUAUGUUGUUCCCUAAUGGCUUAUUACCAUCUCAUUUGCAAUUCAGAUCAGUUAUAAAUUGACUGAAAUUUUUAAACACAUAGCAGGCAGUUUAAACUAAUGAUUGUCUGGAGGUUCACAUCUGACAUGAACUAAGCUUCUGUUCAAAACAAAUUGCAAAUAAUUCCUCCCUUAGAGUCAAAAUGUCACUUUUUACACAGUGCAUUGUUGCCAGAUUUUGUCAGCUCCAUUAAAAUAAAACCAAAUAAAUAAAUAAAUAAACCCAUCUAGCUAUCCACUGAGUGUUCUGAACAUAGGGUGACCCUGUUAUUAUCCCUUAUUUACAGUAACAGGGCUUUACAUUUACAGGGCUCUGCACAGACUGCUGAAAGGUCCUUUCUCCCUCAAAAGCCCCAACUGUGGCGAAGGCGCUGGGGUCAGUAGCAGGCCUGGGUUGCCUAGCAAUCCCCAGCAGGCUGCCCAUCGCCCUCCAAGCUCGGCGUACCAUCUGAGUCCUUGCCUCAUGCUUGCCCAUGCCUGCUCAAAUAUUUCCACUGAGGCAGCUGUGUAUGGGUGGCUGUGGUGUGCUGGCGGGACUGUGAGUGCUGUGUGGAUGAGGCACACCGGCCUCCCAGCCACAGAGAUGUGGUAAAACAAUGUUAAUCCUUCGUUGUAUAUAGACAACUGCUUGAAGAAGCGAUUCAGAAUUUGGGUUUAAUUCCAUCAGGAUUUUGAAGUCCACACCUCUCAUGAUGAUAGCAGGGGAAGCUCUUCAAAAAUGCCCAAUGGGGUCAUGAGGAACUGUUUAAUGUGUGAUUGAAAUUGGAUUUCCCUUCAAAGAAUAAGCCAUCUAAGGGGGAGUCACUGGAGAAAUCUUGAUGACUUGCAGCUGCUGAUUACUAAUUUUGAAUAGGGUAGUAUUUUGCUAAUUUCUAAAGGGAAUAAGCUUAUGUAGAGGGGAAAAAAAAUAGGUCAGUUCCUUUUGAUGUAAUCCUCAUGUAUUUUUGCUUUCUAGGUGUUGGCCACAGGGAGUUUUUUUUUUCAUGCAAUGUUACUGGGUCAGGUAUCCUGGUUAGAUGUUACUUGAAAGUCUGUGUUACUUGACUGGCUGUCUCGGGCUCAAAAAAAAAGAGGUUGUUUUUUUUCUUUUUCCCCACAAAAUAGCACAAAGAACUCUCUUAUGUACAGCAAACUACUUGUUCGGUUGCUAUUUAUUUAAGUUUUCAUCUUGAACUGUGAACUGAUAUACUUUGUACAGCACUGCAUGUCUCAAAAGUUUAUGCAUAGUGCAUAGCCUUACUUUUUUGUAUUUGAUUACUUUUCUGAUCCCUUAUCCACUGAAAAGUGUUUCUUAACUGUUGCUAAAAUAUUGAGAUGAUGUUGACACCUGCUCAAGGAAAAUUUUAUUGUUGGAGAAAGUAUGGUGAGAUGACACGAUUUUUAACUAUCAAAACAGAAAUUUCACUGAAAACACUGAUUUUCUUUCUGAAAAUUAUGAAUGCAUAAUUAGUUUUAGUCAGUUUGGGAAGAAGUCGUUAAGCAUUACUUGAUUUAGAAUGUCACUGUAUUUGUGAGGAGAGGAAUGCUGAAACCAAGUGAAAGAGACUUUUCUUUGCUAGAUGAGAACAUUCAUGACAAAUUUUCCUACUACAUAAUCACUGCACGUUAAAAAAAGAGCAUAUUUUAAAGAAUCCUUUCCCCAACCCAAUUUGUUUUUUACGGCAGAUGUUGUUUGUUAUUUGUUUGUUUUGUUUUGUUUUAUAUCUGGAAAGUGACGGGAAAUGUGAAAAAGGCAUUUCUUAAGGUAUAUCCCAAGCUUUAUGAUCUUUCUGGGAAUACCUACCUGCUUGUAGCUAGGUUUAGGAAAGAUAUAUGCACGAAACUCUUACAUUUUUCUUACACAAAUGUAUAUACAUUUGUAUAGUUGAAAUGUGACGCACUUUGUACUCUAUGGAAAAAAAACUGGGUCUCAGCUAACUGAUCAUAAUAAUUUAGAUUAACUAACUGUAAAAUGAGUUGCCUCAUUCAAAGAAGCUUUUGAGUGCUGCCUCUUUCUUUGAUAUGUCUAUGAUGUUGAAGGCUGACUUCACAUCCUGUUUGCCCUGGCUACACUUAAAUGUAUAAAAUAGUCUUGCUGAUGUGGUUUAAGGCUAAAACUCCAUCAAAAGCAUCUUUCAUUGCAUGCUGAGUGCUCAGGAGAGCACAUGGUGUUUCUUAGCCAUCUCUCCAAUAUGUGUUGUGUAUGUUCAAGACUAUAGAUCCAUCAAUCUACAGCUUUGCUCUGCUUUUUUUGUCCCCAGUCAGAAUUAUGCUGUGACAAUAGAUAUAUAACAUUACCCUUAAUUUAGGAGGCAAUUCUAGAUAAGUAAUGCUUUGAUACUGCAGGUGAUGUGCAGGAUAUAAAUAAUUACACAAAUACCAUUAGUGUCUCAGAGUAGCAGUGAAACUUUUUUUUAUUUUUAUUUUUUAUGUUUUUGAGUAAUGAUUUGUAUGCUGGAGAGUUGUUUAAGGGACAGAAAAUAUCUUUGCUGAACAAUGCUACUAUCCACCACUGUAUUAAAAAAGCUUCAAGAUUUGCUUUUGUAUGAGCCUGUGUGUGUCAUAUAUUCACAUAAGUCCUACUUUCUUAGAUGGAAUCUCAAGUGAAAAUAAAAAUAAAUGGAUAUCCUAAAGUCAUUGCAAACCAUUUGUGAUGCUUUUACUUUACAUUUUUUCAUGGUGACAUCCAUCAGAGUCUAAUCUCUUAAUAAACUCAGGCUAUACAUUGCAGCUUCUUCCUUCACGUGGCCCUUGAAAGAGAAUUUUCUAAUACCGUGAAGAUGAUAAAGAAAAUAACCUUUUUUAUUUUCUUACUUUAGUGCAAGAGGGACACAGAAGAACAGAUUCCUUGCAAGUAGCACAAAAGCCACUCUAAAGAAUUGUUGAGCUGUUUAUUGCAUUAUCUUUACACAAGAACCUAUGAUCUGUAUUGCAUGGGUCUCAAGAAGAUCCCAUGUGCAUCAAAUAAAUUCAAGUACUUUUUGUGUUAUUAAGUUUUAGUACAUGUGCUGUAGUUACAGGAUACUGGAACAUCCAAAAGGUUCUGAUGUUUUAGUUAGGCUUCAAAAGGCUUGAAGACUUUUUUGAGCUGCAUGAACUAUAGUUGUCUGCGACGUCAGGCUGGAAAUCUCCCAAGAAUGGCUCCUUGGAAAGAUUAUUGUUAUUUCAGUCUUCUAACUAAAGAAAGAGCCUAUUGUAAUGUAUGAUUAUUGGUGUAAUCCUGCAAACCAUUUACAGUGCUUUCAAACUUGAAGUCAGCAAAGGUAGUGCAAUGAAGUAUAUCAAUGUAUUACAGGAAUUAUUACUACCUUAGCAAAAGAGUGAAAAAGAAUGACAGAAUAACUGUAUUAUAUACCACUCUUUUUAUACUCCUGUUUCCUACUUACUUGAAUUAUAAGUAAACAGAGCAGGACCUUGCUGGGCAGGGACAUUUUUUUGUGCCACUGUGGCAGUGGCCUGGUUGAUGACUGUGGGUCUUCGUAUUCUGAUAAUACUGUAAAAACUGCAAUAAGCUUUAUUAACUUAUGAUACAUUUAACACUGAAAUCUGUAGGGAGGUAGUCAGCUUAAUAGUGGAAAAAAAAUCGAUCAAUAAAUAGGAAUAUUUUUACAGUUACUCAUUUUGCACACAAAUUAGUUCCUAAUAAUUGAGUGUACACGUAUGUUAUGUAUUUUGUAUUCUGCAAGCUCCUUUGCAACAUGUGGUGUCUGAUACAAAUGACAUGAGUUUUAUGGCUUCUUUGACAUGUUAGAGUGAGAGCUCAUAGCAUUUCUGAUGACUCACAUUGUCACUCGUGAUUUAAUAAUUGAUCUGUACUCUUGAGUGUAAUGAACCCUGUAAUUUAUUAAAAGACGAAAAGUGUUCCCGUAGUUAGUGUGCUGAUGUUUGACAGGAGAAGUUAAUUUUUGAGGUACUACUGCUAUAAAAUCUUGUUGGUAAAUGCAAUUCAUUUUUAUGCUUGGUGAAGCACUUUUUGAUAGCAGUCUGGAUAAAAUAUGAAUACAUAUUUGCGGUGAACUUGUUCUUGAACAAGUUUUGUCUAGUGUCUCUGCCAUCAUUUUUUAAAUGGUUGUGAAAUACACAAGUCGCCUGUAAAAAUCCAAGACACUUCCUCAGUACUUAUAGUGUGGUUCAGUGUUGGUUGAUAAGAAAUGAACAUUUGUCUCUGUAAGUCUGUUCUUCUUGAGCCAAUGACCAAGUGUUUCUGUGACCAUGAAAUUUCUAUAUCAUCCUUUCACUUAGUUAUCGUUCAUGCUGUGUGUUGGUGAAGAAAUAUAGGAAGGUAUGUAUUGGCCAAUACUGAGACAUAUAACCCUAACAAACAAGAAAAGAACUCUGGGGAGAAGAAGGAGGAAGGGUAGGGAAUGGGAAAAAGAUGGGAAAUGAGAG
ensembl:lncRNA